rnacentral:rRNA from 1 species
GACGAACGCUGGCGGCGUGCCUAAUACAUGCAAGUUGAGCGCUGAAGGUUGGUACUUGUACCAACUGGAUGAGCAGCGAACGGGUGAGUAACGCGUGGGGAAUCUGCCUUUGAGCGGGGGACAACAUUUGGAAACGAAUGCUAAUACCGCAUAAUAACUUUAAACACAAGUUUUAAGUUUGAAAGAUGCAAUUGCAUCACUCAAAGAUGAUCCCGCGUUGUAUUAGCUAGUUGGUGAGGUAAAGGCUCACCAAGGCGAUGAUACAUAGCCGACCUGAGAGGGGGAUCGGCCACAUUGGGACUGAGACACGGCCCAAACUCCUACAGGAGGCAGCAGUAGGGAAUCUUCGGCAAUGGACGAAAGUCUGACCGAGCAACGCCGCGUGAGUGAAGAAGGGUUUCGGAUCGUAAAACUCUGUUGGUAGAGAAGAACGUUGGUGAGAGUGGAAAGCUCAUCAAGUGACGGUAACUACCCAGAAAGGGACGGGUAACUACGUG